UUUUUUAUAAUUUGAGGUUUUAUCGAAGUAUCGUAUGUUUUGAAGUCGGAUUUAAGUGUAUAAAAGAGUGUUAAUUGUUAUGCGUUCUACCGUGCCAUCCCCGUGCACCCUUGCCUACCACUUUCAAAAGAACCUGCGCAGAACCAUGGCUGUCUCGCGCAUGUAGGGGUGAAGGGUGAUGGUGGGGAAGGGCCUGGAGCAGUGGUGGGGAUAAGUCGUUGGGGCGAGGUAUCUUUCCCCACCAUUCUGACUCUCCUGCUGUCCUGCAUGCACGACUCAUACAGAGUCAUUGAUUGAGGUGCUGGUGAACUGAUUGAAGACUUAAAAGAGUGAAAAUUUAAAAACGUACGUUUUCAGGAAAAGCACUUUGCAAUUUUUUUCCC